CAAAGCCGCGAGGUGGAGCGAAUCUCCAAAAAUUGUCCCAGUUCAGAUUGCAGGCUGCAACUCGCCUGCAUGAAGUCGGAAUUGCUAGUAAUCGUGGAUCAGCAUGCCACGGUGAAUACGUUCCCGGGCCUUGUACACACCGCCCGUCACACCAUGGGAGUCGGUAACACCCGAAGCCUGUAGUCUAACCGCAAGGAGGACGCAGUCGAAGGUGGGAUUGAUGACUGGGGUGAAGUCGUAACAAGGUACC
rnacentral:rRNA from 1 species